AUGAGUCACAUGCGCCACCAUCGGCGUCCUCCUCCAACAUCGCCUGCACCAAAGGAAAGCCUUUUUCUGAAGAACAUCCCUCCUACUCCUUCCUUGGCCAUGGUCUCAUGGUUGUCACCGGAGAGACAGACGCUGCUGCCGGUGCGGUGGAUUCCUGACUUCCAGACAAAAAGGGGAACUGAAGUCACUGAAACCACUAGCAAGAAAAAAGAAGUUGCUGAAAUUUUGCAACUAUUUCCGUUUCUUCAUGCUUCCGGUGGACAGAUUAUAAAACAUCAUGUGCUACCUGAUUACAUCCCACACGUGCAACGGUUUGAAAGUAUAUGUGUCACAAGCUCACUUAAAGUUCACAAAAUUUCGGUUGUCUGA
rnacentral:rRNA from 1 species